rnacentral:ncRNA from 2 species
UGCCUCGGCAGGUAAGGGUGAAAGGGUGAGGUAAGAGCUCACCGGGUCUGGUGGUGACAUCAGAUGCCAGGUAAACCCCGUCAGGAGCAAGACCAAAUAGGGGGGCGUUAAGGGCGGCCCGCCCGUGCCUCCGGGUUGGUUGCUUGAGGGUGCCGGUAACGGCAUACCCAGAUGAAUGACUGUCGUCCGGGAAGGGGUAACCCGACCCGGAAACAGAACCCGGCUUACGGACUGCUUCAACCA